rnacentral:tRNA from 1 species
AUUACUUUGACAGACUAAUGUUUUAAAUUUAGAAUUUAAUAAUGUAUAUAAAUAUAAAAUUUAUACAAGUAAUU